rnacentral:tRNA from 1 species
GCCGGCGUAGCUCAGUUGGUAGAGCAUCUGAUUUGUAAUCAGAGGGUCGCGGGUUCAACUCCUGUCGCCGGCUCCA